rnacentral:lncRNA from 1 species
GUCCGCGAAUUAAGGUAUAUUCUUUUGUAGUGAAUACUUCUCGAAAGGCUAUGAUUUUGUGGGUGUUUAGUUAUGGGUGGUAAUUCAGAAGCCUAAAAUGAAGCUGGUGGAGGAAUGAAUUUAAGAAAAUUCAAUAUGGGUUCUCUUUCCCUGAAAAAAUCUGUUUGUAGUGGCUCGUCCUCGAACAAAAGAGAUCUGAAUAAUAAUGCGAGGAUAGAAAAUUAGUCGAUCACGAAAUUAAUUACAUAAAAAAGAUCAACGAAGCUUCAUUUAUCACCUUGUUGCUGAGACAAAAAUACCUUCUUCAAACGCCACCAUCAUUAGAACAAUUAAUCACGAGAAAUAUUGCUGAUCUUACAAAAGAAGAAAGGGCCGUCAUUUUCAGACCUCUUUCAGACCAUUAUACCUAAAAUUGACUCAACAAUUUUAGACUCUACCCCUAAACUUGGUGAUACCAGGUCCGGUACAAAAAGAUAUUUACUCAUACCUCUGGUACCAAUUUCUGUUGGCUUG